rnacentral:misc_RNA from 1 species
CUUCAGUUUGCUGCUCUUUUCUCUCUGUGGGUGUGUUAUUUUAUUGGUGGUUGUGCCCAUCAUGAGCUACAACUACGUGGUCAUUUUGAUGCUUAAAAUGAUCUUUACCCCUCGUCAACCAGAUGUGCCAGCAGAAUAGCAUCAACUAAUGGAGAGAGAAAGCAAUGAUGUUUUUUUAUGAUGGAAACUGUUAAACCUUCAUUAAGAUGAAAAGCCUUGGGAGGCAGCAUGACAGAAUACAUGACCUAUCCAC